UUUUAUUUUUUCAAAAUCUGAAUUAUAUAUUUAGCACCGAUUUUAAUUAACAAAUCUGUCUUCACUUCUCCUUGGCAAUCUGUAUGCUUUAAAUGUGGAAACCUAAUUUAAAGGUACAUGUAUACUGUUUUUCAGGAAUGUGCUGGUUGUUUCCACUUGUUUGGUUAGUUGAUAGCGUUUCAUUUCAUAACUUUUUAUGGAUUUCUCCUUUUUAAAUGUUUUGCAUUUUUUUUUAUACUUUUUUUCACAUUGUAUCAGUGUAAAAUUAUAUCACAAAUACUACAUUGUAAUGAAAAUGCCCAAAUUAAAGAAAAAACACUUACAGUGACUAGAGAAUACAGCAAUAC
rnacentral:lncRNA from 1 species